rnacentral:lncRNA from 1 species
UACAGUGUACUUACAUAUAGUAAUAAAUAAAUCUUUAAAUAAAAUAAAAUAAAAAGAGGGGCAGGAGAAUGGUCACCGAAUCCUCCUCACCCAGGUCUUUCUUAACCCCGUGCCUUCCAUCUUGCUGUAUAUAAUGUUGCGCUAAUUGCCCAUGGUCUCAAAGUCUUUUUAGUGCUAUGCUUUGGAGUGGCUCUGACUCCUUAGUCGCCCCUCACUCAUGCUCUGUAAGUGAGCCCAUUCAACUCAAUAGUUUUCCAAGUUUUUCUCAGUUGAGUCAUGUUGGUCCCCUAAGGAAAGAGUUUCUACAACAGAAACUUCUUAGCUAGACUUACUGUGAAGCAAAGCUAAGCUUCCCCUGAUAGAGGCUGCUGUCUCUACCUUCACAUACGGACCUGGGAACUGCUUUGAUCCCUCAGAAGCCAGUUUUAGUUCUCUAACUUACUUUCUAGUAAAUGAUGUCACAGAAUUCUAGGAUAAUUUGUGAUUUUUCACUUUGGCCAUCAGGUUGGAACAGGGCUGUGUAUAGUCUCAGUUGCUGUACCUUCUUGCAUACAACAAAUGUUAUUUCUAGCUACACAUCCCUCUUCAAGUAGAUCUUAUGGCAACAAAACAAUUCUUAAGCCUUUAGGAUUGCUUGUAAUGGAUUGUUGCGGUCAUAAAAUAUACGUUAGGCUUCAGCCAUGCAUUUAAACCCUCUUGAGUGAACAGGAAGCAGGUGGACACUAUUUGAUUCAUUCUCUCUGAGCAAGAAAUUUCAGGGUCUCCCAGUCCAGGGUUUCAUAAUGUAGCCUAGAUCACAGGCGAUCUUCCUGCUGUAGCUUCCUGUAAGUGCUUAAGCUGAAAGUCUGGGGAGAUGAAGGAAGUCAGUGAAGGAAGCUUACUGUGCAAGCAUGAGAAAUAGAAUUUGAACCUCUAGUACCGAUGGACAAAAAGCUAAAGCUGGGGUUAACAGGGCUUCCCUAUAUUUUAGUUCUUGGAGAGAUGCAGAAGUAUCGCACGUUUGUUGGGCAGUCAGUCUAGCUAGGUUUGUAAAGCGAGUUCCAGGACAGCCAGGACACAGACCAGUCUCAAAAAACAACAAAAUACAAUUUGUUUUUGUGAGCAUGUGUGCAUCAUAUGCAAGCAGGAGCCCACAGUUUAGCAAAAGGCAUCUGAUCCCCUGCACCUGGAGUUAAAGGUGAUUAUGAGUAGCUAUAUGGGCGCUGUGCUCCUAAUCACCAAGCAGUGUUUCCAGUCUCAGACUUUACCAGUUUCAGGCUCACUGAGUACUUUGGCCUGGUUAUAUGUGUCAUGGCAUUUGGCUACUUCCUAUACUAGGCGAGGAGGCCAGACUCCAUGAUUUGGAGCACCAAGUAAGCUGAGCCUGUCUGUUGCUGUUUGUUGUCUGCAUAGCAAGAUGUAGUAGUCAGGUUUUCUCAAACUUGUGUAAUGUGAUCAGAAAUAUUCAUAAAGAGGAUGCCCUAUAGCUUAGGAAGGAAAAUCACUCUAUUCAAGGGAUGAAGCUAGCUAAAAGGCCUGCACUUGCAAGGAUCAGAAUAAACACUAAAGGAAGAGGAGAGAGAGAGAGAGAGAGCAAGAGAGAGAGAGAGAGGGAGGAAGGGAGGGAGAGAGAGAGAAGAGAGAGAGAAGAGAGAGGAGAGAGAGAGAGAAGAGAGAGAGGAGAGAGAGAACAGGAGGUUCUGGAGCAAGUAGUAUGUGGUCUAGGACUCUAGCUAACCCAACAGCUUGUAAAGCUGCCAGUGGGAGGUGCUUUGUUGAGAACCUCAACCUGAUGCUUGCUUUUGAGUGCUUUUUACUUACUUAAUGACCCUGAUGGUCUGUAAUAAGUUUGGAGAAGGUCUAGGGUUGAAUUUGAAGCCUCAGGUAGUUUACCUUGAGAGUUGACAAUUGAUUUGUGCUUAGUUAGGCCUGCAUAACAUGUCAUUUGAUCUUGGUUCCUUUCUCUAGUGAGGGGACUGCAGAUGGCCUUGCUACACAGUUGCCAGAGCAAUUGCUUAGCCAAAAGUGAUUGAGGUUACUGCUGUUUGUUUUUUCACAUCAAACGAGUGAGGUUUGGGUAUGGCUAUUUUGCAUCAUUUUCUUUUUGUGCCGGCAGUAAUGAAAAUUUUGCCUCCUUUGCCCGCUAUGGGUAUCCUGUUUGUCCCCGUGAGCAUGGGCUUCUGAGAAUCUGUUGAUUUUUUUUUUUUUUUUAAGAUUUAUUUAUUUUUAUUUAUAUGAAUGCACAGUAGCUGCCUACACACCAGAAGAGGGCAUCAGAUCUCAUUACAGAUGGUUGUGAGCCACCAUGUGGUUGCUGGGAUUUGAACUCAGGACUUCCAGAAGAGCAGUCAGCGCUCUUAACCACUGAGCCAUCUCUCUAGCCCCUCUGAGUUUCUAACUGCCUUUUCUACCCUAAAGAUGUUAAGUUUUCUCUAGUCUUUUUUUUUUUUUUUUUGACGGACUAAAGUGGGGUUCUAUGUAUGUCCUAAAUGCUGGUGAGAAUAAAUGAGAGACUCAGUAUAUCUUUGUCUCCCUGUUUGUGGUUCAUAUGGUGUAGUGAUAUGCAGGCUGGAAUCUGUCAGCAUUUCAGUAGUG